UGUGAGUGUCCAUCUGUCCUGUGAGAAGCA
rnacentral:piRNA from 1 species